rnacentral:rRNA from 1 species
GACGAACGCUGGCGGCGUGCCUAACACAUGCAAGUUGAGCGACGAACCAGGGCUUGCCCUGGGGCAAAGCAGCGAACGGGUGAGUAACACGUGGGUAACCUACCCCGAUAACCGGGACAACCCGAGGAAACUCGGGCUAAUACCGGAUGUGCUCACUGGACUUCGGUUCAGUGCGUAAAGGAAGCUUCGGCCUCCGUAUCGGGAGGGGCCCGCGGCCCAUUAGUUUGUUGGUGGGGUAACGGCUCACCAAGACCGCGAUGGGUAGCUGGUCUGAGAGGACGAUCAGCCACACUGGGACUGAGACACGGCCCAGACUCCUACGGGAGGCAGCAGUGGGGAAUCUUGCGCAAUGCGCGAAAGCGUGACGCAGCAACGCCGCGUGGGGGAAGAAGGCCUUCGGGUUGUAAACCCCUUUCAGGAGGGACGAAGGUUCGGCGGUGAAUAGCCGUCCGGACUGACGGUACCUCCACAAGAAGCCCCGGCUAACUACGU